GACGAACGCUGGCGGCGUGCUUAACACAUGCAAGUCGAGCGGAAAGGCUCCUUCGGGGGUACUCGAGCGGCGAACGGGUGAGUAACACGUGAGUAAUCUGCCCUGUGCUCUGGGAUAGCCACCGGAAACGGUGAUUAAUACCGGAUACAACCACUAUAGGCAUCUGUUGGUGGUGGAAAGUUUUUUCGGCACAGGAUGUGCUCGCGGCCUAUCAGCUUGUUGGUGAGGUAAUGGCUCACCAAGGCUUUGACGGGUAGCCGGCCUGAGAGGGUGACCGGUCACACUGGGACUGAGACACGGCCCAGACUCCUACGGGAGGCAGCAGUGGGGAAUAUUGGACAAUGGGCGGAAGCCUGAUCCAGCAACGCCGCGUGAGGGAUGACGGCCUUCGGGUUGUAAACCUCUUUCAGUACCGACGAAGCGCAAGUGACGGUAGGUACAGAAGAAGGACCGGCCAACUACGUGCCAGCCGCCGCGGUAAGAC
rnacentral:rRNA from 1 species